rnacentral:piRNA from 1 species
UGCCCCAACUGAUCAGUCGACCUUAUGACA